rnacentral:rRNA from 1 species
UACGGGGGGGGCAAGCGUUGUUCGGAAUUACUGGGCGUAAAGGGCUCGUAGGCGGCCAACUAAGUCGGAUGUGAAAUCCCCAGGCUCAACCUGGGAACUGCAUCCGAUACUGGAUGGCUUGAAUCCGGGAGAGGGAUGCGGAAUUCCAGGUGUAGCGGUGAAAUGCGUAGAUAUCUGGAGGAACACCGAUGGCGAAGGCAGCCCCCUGGGCCAAUACUGACGCUCAGGCACGAAAGCGUGGGGAGCAAACAGG